CCUACGGGAGGCAGCAGUGGGGAAUUUUGCGCAAUGGGGGAAACCCUGACGCAGCAACGCCGCGUGGAGGAUGAAAUAUCUUGGUAUGUAAACUCCUUUCGAUGGGGAAGAUAAUGACGGUACCCAUAGAAGAAGCCCCGGCUAACUUCGUGCCAGCAGCCGCGGUAAUACGAGGGGGGCAAGCGUUGUUCGGAUUUAUUGGGCGUAAAGGGUGCGUAGGCGGUUUGGCAAGUCUUAUGUGAAAUCUUCGGGCUCAACCCGAAGCCUGCAUAAGAAACUGCCGGGCUUGAGUAUUGGAGAGGUGAGUGGAAUUUCCGGUGUAGCGGUGAAAUGCGUAGAUAUCGGAAGGAACACCUGUGGCGAAAGCGGCUCACUGGACAAUAACUGACGCUGAUGCACGAAAGCUAGGGGAGCAAACAGGAUUAGAUACCCUGGUAGUCCUAGCCCUAAACGAUGAUUGUUUGAUGUGGCAGGUACCCAAUCCUGCCGUGUCGAAGCUAACGCGAUAAACAAUCCGCCUGGGGAGUACGGUCGCAAAGGCNGAACUACAAGAAGUAGACGGCGUGAGACGNGCCGAACGACGACGACGAGGGAGUAGG
rnacentral:rRNA from 1 species